rnacentral:lncRNA from 1 species
GAAAUCUUCCUAUUGCUCUGCAUCAGAGAACGCACCCCCUCCCCCCCAAAGGAGCAGGAGUUCAAAGGCAGCAGAGGCAGAAUCAGCAUGAGCAGUGAGUAGACUGAGUGGUUGGACAGCUUAGGAGAGCAUCAGGCACAUCCUGUGAGCUAGGCACAAAGGCUUGUACAGCAAAAAGUACUGCAGAGAGAAGCCAACAGGUACUGGCUCCAACUGUAGCAGAGUUAAGGUAGUGUUGGAAGACACACUAACUUCUACAGUAAGAUUUGUUCUCUUUGAUCUCUCAAUUUUUUUUUUCUCCUCUCCUUGCUGCACCCUUCUCUUCAGGGGAGAAUGUUAAUUAAUAAUCCUUUUACAUCUCAUGCUUAUAAACAAUGUCUGCUGCGAACUCUUUUUUUUUUUUUUUAUUCUGUGAUUUCAAACACUU